rnacentral:pre_miRNA from 14 species
GACUAAGAAAAGGUGUACCCCUUUCUACACAGGUUGGGAUCAGUUGCAAUGCUGUGUGUGUCUGUGGUAUUGCACUUGUCCCGGCCUGUUGAGGUUGGUGGGGAUAGAAGCUGAAAGAU